rnacentral:lncRNA from 1 species
UUCAAACGAAAAGAAUGUUAUCAUGACAAGUAAGGGAGCAACAAACCUUAGGGCCAAGGCCAUCAGAUAUGCCGAGAAAGAACAAUAUCCUGUGGGGGCAACAGACGUGCUUUGGGGUUCAUAGCCGAUAGGAAGGGUAAAAUAUGGAAGUUUGUGAAUAAGUAGUAGCCAAGAAAUUCGGAAAUCACCAGCCAAGUUCCAAAGAUUGUCGGACAACACAGAGCAAGGAAAGGAGAAAAGGUAAAUCCAUCUCCAGCGGAAGUACCACAACCAACCGCCACACUUUAAACUGACAAAAUUUUCUUUGAUUUGAAACAGGGGCAUGAAAAUGUUAUUGAAAGAUAUGUUGGGGCAGAAAAUUUUCUGCCGUUUUGAAAAUCAUUUUUGAAGUCGGGUACCCAUUCGAAGAACAUGAAGUUCAAAUACAUGUUUGUUAAAAGAAGAAGAUGGAAGUAGUGUUCAGGAGAAAAAUACUAGUUUCAAGGAAAGUAAUUUUCGGAGGAUUGGAACACCAAGUUGUUAGGGAAGUGGUUUUUGAAGAAGGACAACACCAAUUUUUAGGAAAGCAGUUCUGAAGGAAGGUAAUUCAAGUCAGAAGGUAGACAAAACAAGUUUCGGAGGAAAAUGGUUAGUCGAUAUAAAUCUUAGUCUGUUGAAUUUUUCACCUAAGAUAAAAAUCUUACUCUGAUGAAUCUUUUACCUAGGAUGAAGAUGAAGGAGGGAAAUCUUAGUCCGAUGAAUGUUUCACCUAAGAUAAAAAUCUUAGUCUGAUGAAUCUUUCACCUAAGAUAAAGGUAUAAGUUGGAAAAGUGAAAGGAAAGCAUAAUUUGGAAAAGAAGGGAAGGCAAAAUUUGAGGGAAAAGAAAAGAAUACAUAAUUUGGGAAGAAAGGCAGAAGUUGGGAAAAAGAAAGCAAGGCAUAACUUGGAAAGGAAGGCAGAAGUUGGAAAAAGAAAUAAAGGCAUAAUUGGAGAAAGAAAGGAAGGCACAAUGUGAAAAAGAAGGAAAGGAAUGUUUAAAUUCAAAAAUGGACCUAGUCUGAUGAAUAUCUAGAGUCAAAAUCUCAAUCCGAUGAAUCUUUCUCCUGAGAUCAUACAAAAUUGGACCUAGUCUGAUGAAUUUCUCCUAGAGUCAAAAUCUCAGUCCGAUGAAUCUUUCUUCUAAGAUCACACAAAUGGACCUAGUCUGAUGAAUUAUCUCCUAGAGUCAAAAUCUCAGUCCGAUGAAUCUUUCUCUUGAGAUCGCGCAAAAAUGGACCUAGUCUGAUGAAUUAUCUCCUAGAGUCAAAAUCUUAGCCUGCUGAAUCUUUCACCCAAGAUGAAAAUCUUGGUCUGAUGAAUUUUUCACCUAAGAUAAAAAUCAAAAUCUUAGUCUGCUGAAUCUUUCUCCUAAGAUAAAAUCUUAGUCUGAUGAACUUUUCACCUAAGGUCAAAGUUAGAAAAGUCUUAGUCUGUUGAAUCUUUCUCCUAAGAUGAAAAUCUUAGUCCGAUGAAUUUUUCACCUAAGACAAAUUUCAAAUUUUAAGGUACAUUUCAGUCUUUAAAGUUGUAUUUCAGUCUUAUCACAAUUCAAGUUUUAGUCCUUAUUAGUAUGUGGUAACAAACCCCAGUUUUACAAACUGGGGCAGAAAGUUUUCUUUGUUUUGUCUAUCUUUGUGAAGUCAGGAGCCCGCCUGGAGAACAGAGGAAUACAUUCAAGUUUUGAAGUCAGUAGCCCACCUGGAGAACGGAGGUAUUACGUUUCAAGUUUUAAUUUUCAAAUUCGUAUUAGUAUCCGAUAAGAAACCCCAGUUUUACAAACAGGGGCAGAAAGUUUCCUUUGUUUUGUCUAUUUUUAUACAGUCAGGAGCCCGCCUGGAUAACAGAGGAAUACAUUCAAGUUCAAGUUUACUCAAGUUCAGCAAUUUGAAGAAGGGAAUAGUUUACAAUUCAAAACGACAACAAUGGAUUUCACCUGGAGAGCAAGGGAAGACAACUCAAGUUUCAAGGGGAAGCAGUGUCGACGGAAGACAACUUAAGUUUCGAGGGAAAGCAGUUUUGAGGGAAGAAAGUUCAAGUUUCAAGGGAAAAUGGUUCAAGGUGCCGAGUAGGUUUGACGUCGAGGCACACGAUUCGAGAUGGCAGAAAAAAUGAGUCUCAAUCCAAAAUAAAGAAAAAAAAAGAGCAAAAGAAGUGAGCUCCAAAAUUCAGAAGCAGGAAAAGCUGUGAACUGCUCAAGACGUGGUUGAAGUCAUGAGCACUACAUGCCCGGUCUUGAUCCAAAAGCUGAAGAAGAUUGAACCAACACCUGCGGCUAACAAGCAUCAAGAUUCGGAUUAAGGUCCGCAUGAAGCACCAACCAAGAAGACUCAUAGGUAAGAAUCUUGUAACUUGUAGCUGAUAGGCUUAGUUAGUCUUUUUCAAUUUUGACUUUGAUGUAUUAGGGUCCGCAUGAAGCACCAACCAAGACUCAAGAUCAAGCUUCAGAAGACUUAUAGAUAUGAAUCUUAUAACUCGUAGCUGAUAAGCUUAGUUAGUCUUUUUCAAUUUUGAUGUAAUAAUAGGACAGCGGACCGGAGCCUCGGACGGAACCUCGACUCUCAACCUCGGUACUUCUUCACUUCUGAACUGCACCUGACCUGAUUCCUUUAUAGCCAAGGAUAUGUAGGCAUCCUUUGAAGCAAGAUUCGGUCAGAUAGUUUUUCAAAAAAUGCUUCUUAUGGGAGUUUCAAAUGGGCAAAAAUCCCUCACAGUGUUUACUUUAUCUUUGCCCGAAAACUCUUCGUGUUUCCGAGCAAAUAGGGGCAGCUGUAAACACGGGAUUUUUUUCCUACAUGAAGAUAACUCCUAAAAGUAAGUCAAAAUAAUUUUUUUGCUCUUUUAGAAAUUUUUUCUUUUGUAGUCUCAUUUCAUACAUUUUAAUAUUUUAAAAUCACAAUAAUAAAAUACAAAAAUACAUAUUUGCAUUUAGUAUCUAAUUUCAUAUUUUAAGAUUAAUUAAGGGUUAAUUUGUAUUAGAACAAAAUAGGAAGAAAAUAACAAAAAUAGUACCUUUUGCAUUAUUAGUUUAAAUUUGUAUUAGUUUGUAUUUUUAUUAGGAAUUAAUUAGGAAAUCUAAUUUUUAGUGUUAAUUUUGUUCAUUUAACAAAAUCAGAAAAUAGAAUACAAACUAAGUAAAUAAAAUACAAAAAGAAAAAAAGAGAGGAAGAUAAAAGGAAAAUGGGAGUAAAAAAUGGGAACAACCUUCCCCUUAAAAUAUUUCCCCAUCUAAAAUCUUCCCCCAAAAUAUUUACCCACAUAACACCUUCCCCCAAAUAAAACUCCCUCACGUAACACCUCACCCCACAUCCUUUAUAAAACCAUCUUGCCACAACCAAAAGAAAAGAAAUACACAAAAAUUGAACGCCUACAAUGAUAAAAGAAAAAGAAUACCUAAGACCUGAGACCCCAAAGUGAAAUCAGUGGUAUUCCUUCAUCAUCCUCACCCCAUCAGCGACCAAGAUUUCUUCACCCAAAACACAAAUCAAACACACACAAAAUAGGCAUAUAUAGAUAUAGUAGGGAGCAUCGAUCUUAAGCAGCUAGAAGGCUCACUCGUGAAUUAGUUCUCCAAAACCCCGGUUAUUUUUGCACUUCUUUCUACUCAACUCAUUGAGGUUGCUGAC